rnacentral:snRNA from 1 species
GUCUCAUCGGAGACAUCCGAUAAAAUUGGAACGAUACAGAGAAGAUUAGCAUGGCCCUUGCGCAAGGAUGACAUGCACAAUUAGAGAAAUGGUCCAAAUUUUU